rnacentral:rRNA from 1 species
UACGGAGGGGGCGAGCGUUAUUCGGAAUUAUUGGGCGUAAAGGGCGCGUAGGCGGCUUGUCAAGUCAAAGGUGAAAUCCCUCGGCUCAACUGAGGAGCUGCCUUUGAAACUAGCGAGCUUGAGGCCGGGAGGGGGUAGCGGAAUUCCCAGUGUAGCGGUGAAAUGCGUAGAUAUUGGGAGGAACACCAGUGGCGAAGGCGGCUACCUGGACCGGUACUGACGCUGAGGCGCGAAAGCGUGGGGAGCGAACAGG